AUUGAACGCUGGCGGCAUGCCUUACACAUGCAAGUCGAACGGUAACAGGUCUUCGGAUGCUGACGAGUGGCGAACGGGUGAGUAAUACAUCGGAACGUGCCCGAGCGGGGGGGAUAACGAAGCGAAGGCUUUGCGAAUACCGCAUAAGAUCUAAGGAUGAAAGGAGGGGACCGAAAGGACUUGCGCGAACGCAGUGGCCGAGGGCAGAUUAGGGAGUUGGUGGGAUAAAAGCUUACCAACCCGACGAUCUGUAGCUGGUCUGAGAGGACGACCAGCCACACUGGGACUGAGACACGGCCCAGACUCCUACGGGAGGCAGCAGUGGGGAAUUUUGGACAAUGGGCGAAAGCCUGAUCCAGCCAUGCCGCGUGCAGGAUGAAGGCCUUCGGGUUGUAAACUGCCCUUGUACGGAACGAAAAGACUCUUUCUAAUAAAGAGGGUCCAUGACGGUACCGUAAGAAUAAGCACCGGCUAACUACGUGCCAGCCGCCGCAGUAA
rnacentral:rRNA from 1 species